GUGCAGAUUUUCGACCAUGUUUUGUAGGUAGUAGAGUGUUGUUGAUCGUGUCCGGUGCAGUUGGGCUCGUGGAUUAUGCCCGCAGACGUAUUGAUCUUAGGACAGUUGCAAGACUUUGAUGUUGUGCUUGGCAUGGAUUGCCUGCAGACCUGUUCUUCCUUUCUUUCUCCUUCUACUUUCUCUCCUUUCUCCUGAAUCUCCUCAUCCUUCACCAUCCCGACGUCAAUGUCGCUCCUCUAUCUUACUUCGUCUGCAUCUCCGUUGACUUCAGCUCGAUAUGACAAACUUUUAACUUUUAAUCACACAGAAAAUUUUUAUACUGAAUAAGUAAUCUUUGGAUAUUUUAUUCCAAUGUACAAGACUUAAGUGUGUGAUCAAAUGUCUUGAUGGGAUACCGUAUUCGGGCUUCAACUAAUAUUUUUCAAAAUACGAUAAAUUAUUUUAUAGGUGAAAUAUACUAUAUAUCCU
rnacentral:lncRNA from 1 species